rnacentral:pre_miRNA from 1 species
GAUGUACCGUCCCAAAAAGUUUGUCUUAGAUUUGUUUACAUACAGAUGUAUCUAGACACGUUUUAAUGAUACAGACAUCCAUAUUUAGAUAAAUGUAAGACAAGCUUUUUGGGACGAAGGUAAUAC